GGCAGUUCUCGGGUGACACACCCCGGAACCAGCGAGGAGGGAGCCCGAUUCCAGGGUGUGUCACCCAAGAACUGCC
rfam:Myotis brandtii contig165587, whole genome shotgun sequence.